rnacentral:rRNA from 1 species
UACGGGGGAUGCAAGCGUUAUCCGGAUUUAUUGGGUUUAAAGGGUGCGCAGGCGGAUUUUUAAGUCAGCGGUCAAAUCGUGGGGCUCAACCCCAUCCAGCCGUUGAAACUGGGGAUCUAGAGUGUGCGAGAGGUAUGCGGAAUGCGUGGUGUAGCGGUGAAAUGCAUAGAUAUCACGCAGAACUCCGAUCGCGAAGGCAGCCUACCGGCGCGCAACUGACGCUCAUGCACGAAAGCGUGGGUAUCGAACAGG